rnacentral:rRNA from 1 species
AUGGCGGAGCACUGCAAGAUUUCUGCUGCCAUUGUUGCCGAGUCCGAGGAAAGAUCGUAUGCCUUCAAGAUAGACGGAUACUGGAAAGCCAAGCGGCUGGUCAAGAACGGCGAGAGCGUGACUUCUCCCCCCUUCUGCGUCGGAGGUCACGACUGGAUUCUGAGGUACUACCCCAAGAUUUUCGAUCUAGUAACCGUCUUCCUGGUUCUCGAUUCUGCUGAUGCAAAAGGCGUGAAGGCGAAGGUCCGAUUCUGCUUACUCGACAAGGACGGGGUACGGGUGCCGUCGUACACCUUCCAAGAAAAUGUCUUCCGAGGCAAAGGAUCAUCCGGGGGCGGCGUUGGCUAUUCCAUCAAGCAGGAGGACCUGGAGCGAUCGCCGCACCUGAUAGACGACUGCUUCACCAUCCGGUGCGACGUCACGGUGAUGAAGGAGUUCAAAGGCAAAGAAAAUGGCCAGUUCGUUGUGGUUCCCUCGAGCGACUUGCACCGACAUUUCGGCGACUUUCUGAAGAGCGGGGAUGGAACGGACGUGACCUUUCAAGUCGAUGGCAAGACCUUCUCGGCCCAUCGGUCCGUGCUUGCUGCUCGGUCGCCUGUGUUCAAGGCGCAGCUCUUCGGCGCCAUGAAGGAGAGUUCUGAUGAUCUGAUUAUGGUCGAUGACAUGGAAGCCGACGUGUUCACAUCAUUGCUCCAUUUCAUAUACACCGACUCGCUCCCGCAGAUGACCCGUGAAGGAGACGAUGUGGUGGCAGCUAGCCAUCUCCUUGUAGCGGCGGACAGGUAUGACGUCCAGAGGCUGAAGCUCAUCUGCGAGGAGAAACUGUGCAGCCACCUUGACACCGAUACGGUGGCAACCAGUUUGGUUCUGGCUGAGCAACAUAGCUGCCAUGGGCUCAAGGAAGCAUGUCUACAGUUCCUCGCUUCUCCGGCCAAUUUGGAGGCGAUGAAAGCAAGCGAUGGCUACGUGCAUCUCAAAAGCAGUUGCCCGUCUGUUCUCAAGGAACUGAUUGCUAGACUCCUGCCUGCUGAACUGAAAGCGGCCAAGGAUAUUGUCAUGGCAAUUUAG